GACGACUAGAAGCGCGCUUGCAGCUCCUUCAACCUGAUGGUGAGAUUUAAGUUUGAUAUCGGGAGAAUUGAAAACAACGAAUUUAUGAGCUAUGUGUCCGCUUAGGCUCGCUUGUUUUCACCUUUGCCAAGCCUUGAAUUUAGCCCAUCAAAGCCAGAAAAACCCACCUAUGCUCGAAACGUCCGGCGAUUUUCCUUGUUUACCCGGUUCCCGUCAGCGUUUUGCCCGUCCAGAGGAGCGACGACCCUCUCCAUGAAAUUUGUCUACGCAUUCAACAGAGGCCAGGAAGUGUUUCGAAAAUUGGGUUACUCCUGAUUGUUCCAGAAAAACCGAGCGGUAAGCUAUUCUCGACCGAUUUGAGCCACGGGUGACUGAACCCCUGUGAUAUCGCAAC